rnacentral:rRNA from 1 species
AAUCAAGUGCCUUAAGGGUGUUCGGUGGAUGCCUUGGCGCUGAGAGGCGAUGAAGGACGUACUACGCUGCGAUAAGCCGUGGGGAGCUGCGAAGAAGCUUUGAUCCACGGAUUUCCGAAUGGGGAAACCCACCUUCGAUAGCCGAAACUCUAAGCGCAUGAUGACGCAAGUCGUCGUGGGUUUGGAUUUUCGGUUAUCAAGUGAAGGUAUGAGACUUCUGAAUACAUAGGAGGUUUCAAGCAUACCCAGGGAACUGAAACAUCUAAGUACCUGGAGGAAAGGACAUCAACAGAGACUCCGGUAGUAGUGGCGAGCGAACCCGGACCAGGCCAGUCAUGAAUGCGAGACAACCAGAACCUGUCAAGAAAGCAGGGCCUCAGAGGGUGAUAGCCCCGUAUGGGUAAUGCAAACAUUCAUGCUCGAGUAAGGCGGGACACGUGAAAUCCUGUCUGAACAUGGGGGGACCACCCUCCAAGCCUAAGUACUCCUCAGCGACCGAUAGUGAACCAGUACCGUGAGGGA